CACGUAGGGUGCGAGCGUUGUCCGGAAUUAUUGGGCGUAAAGAGCUCGUAGGCGGUGUGUCGCGUCGGCCGUGAAAACCUGCAGCUUAACUGUGGGCUUGCGGUCGAUACGGGCAUCACUGGAGUUCGGCAGGGGAGAAUGGAAUUCCUGGUGUAGCGGUGAAAUGCGCAGAUAUCAGGAAGAACACCCGUGGCUAAGGCGGUUCUCUAGUACGGUACUGACGCUGAGACGCGAAAGCGUGGGGAGCGAACAGG
rnacentral:rRNA from 1 species